AUGGGCCACCUGCACAGGCUCAGUUCAGUCAUGUGUUUCCGUGUCCUGAGGCCUCAAGAGCACAGACGUACCUCACUGAGGACAAGGAUAAGAAACCAAUGUUUACCUAGCUUCACAAGUUGGGCUACAAUCUAUUUUUGAAUAAAAAGGAAUAUUAAAUUCCUUCUUGCUGCUAUUUUUCAGAUACUCCCAAGAGUUAAAAUACUAAUUGAAUGUUAAUUAAAACAUUACUUCUCAGUUUUCACUUAGAUUCUUUCACUUAUUAUAGUUUGUAAUCAAUAUUUUUCCAUGGGACUUAUUUACAAUCAUUUUUAUUUUGAGUAAAAAAUACGGCUUGUAAACAUUUCUCUUUUACCUGCGUAUAUGCACACACACUUUGAAAAAGAAAUCUCUGGAGUCCUCAUCAUGGCUCAGCAGAAACAAAUCUGACUAGCAACAAUGAGGAUGCAGGUUCGGUCACUGGCUUCGCUCAGAGGGUUAAGGAUCUGGCAUUGCCAUAAGCUGUGGUGUUGGUUACAGACGCAGCUUGGAUCUGGUGUUGCUGUGGCUGUGGUGUAGGCCUGGCCUAGGAACUUUCAUAUGCCACAGGUUCGGCCCUAAAGAAAAAAAGAAAGAGAAACCUGUCACUACUUAAGCUUUUGCUUUUAAAGCAUGAAUUGAACACUCAAACUGAACAUUUAAAAGCCAGAAAGCCUAUGUGGGGCUUACAAAGCCUUUCAUGGACUCCUCCUCAUCCUGGGAAGCCCAGGUUAGUAACACACCUGUGCACUGUUAGGAUCCCCACCAGUCAGUCAACUCCUCAGGUACAGGAACCAGGUUUUCAUGCAUAGUUCCAAGGCCCAGCCUGGUGUUGGCAUCCAAUAAUAGGCGUCCAAUCAAUUUUUAAAAUUGAAUAGAUUCAUAUAUCAGGCAUAGGUGGGAUUCACAUCUUCACAUGGACAAGAAUGUUGUAAUUAACAGGUUAGCCCACUAUUAUUUUACUAUAUGCAUAUAUACAUGUAAAUGUAUAUAUAUGCAUGUAUAUAUGUGUGUGUAAAUAUACACAUGCAUAUAUUUUUUUUAGUUUCUAGUUAAAAAGAAACUAAGAAACUCCAGACUCUGUAAGUACUCUGUUGUCUCUGUUGGAGCCAUGAGGGAAAAAUAAUGAUAUGGCACCUAAUCUCCAAAGAUGUCUCCCCCGAAACAUGCAUCCUAGAGUUCUUAUUCUGUGUAGGUGAUCCUAUAUUAAAUCAAAGCUGAGCAUGUAUGCAAUAAAGGGAUAACUCAGCAGGCUUGGCA
rnacentral:lncRNA from 1 species